GAUGAACGCUGGCGGCGUGCCUAAUACAUGCAAGUCGAGCGAACAGACGAGGAGCUUGCUCCUCUGACGUUAGCGGCGGACGGGUGAGUAACACGUGGAUAACCUACCUAUAAGACUGGGAUAACUUCGGGAAACCGGAGCUAAUACCGGAUAAUAUAUUGAACCGCAUGGUUCAAUAGUGAAAGACGGUUUUGCUGUCACUUAUAGAUGGAUCCGCGCCGCAUUAGCUAGUUGGUAAGGUAACGGCUUAGCAAGGCAACGAUGCGUAGCCGACCUGAGAGAGUGAUCGGCCACACUGGAACUGAGACACGGUCCAGACUCCUACGGGAGGCAGCAGUAGGGAAUCUGCCGCAAUGGGCGAAAGCCUGACGGAGCAACGCCGCGUGAGUGAUGAAGGUCUUCGGAUCGUAAAACUCUGUUAUUAGGGAAGAACAAAUGUGUAAGUAACUAUGCACGUCUUGACGGUACCUAAUCAGAAAGCCACGGCUAACUACGUG
rnacentral:rRNA from 1 species